rnacentral:lncRNA from 14 species
AUGAUUCCUUGUUCAGGAAGCAUUCAUGAACUGACAUGGGUCAACAUACUUUUCGUUACCAGGCAAAAGUUGACAUCUGUAAUGUACAUUAAGAUUGUUCCAAGAAUCUGUCAUUACAUAGAGAAAUUUCUUAUGAAGGAAGAAAGCCACAGUACUGCACUUCAGCCAGGACCUUGGGAGUCAAAAAAGGUUUCUGAAUUCAGUGGAGGCUGCUUGAGAACAGAGCCUGGUAAGGUCACACUGUUACUUCUGCCCUUUUUCUUGAUGAC